CCUGAAUUAGCAGGAAGGAGGCUUAAUGGUGCCUGAGUACCUAAUUAACCCUCAGAUGUGCCUGGGGCUGUGAGGAACCUGUGGCUGCAGCUGGGGAGGUGGCAGGCAAGACCUACAAGAGGAGGAAAACUUCCUGUGGUGAUAGAGCUUGGCUACAUGAAAAUCACGAGAUUCAUGUGAACUACUGGAGAAAUGCAGCUGGGAGCAGAGACGUAGGUUUAUGGUCUGUGCUUUGCAUGAGAGAAGGCUGGGAAUUAAAUGGAAGCUUUGCAGAGCACUGUGCUGUUAGAGGGGCAGAUCUAUUUGCUCUUCAAGGGAUGCAAGAGUUGAGAAGGCUGUGCUCCCCAGGAGGAGAAGUGCUGCAGCAAGGCCUUGCUCAGCACCCUGAAGAGGUGUAAAAGACAAGGAAAGCGAACGGACCACCAGUGGUAACUGAGAUCAAGGAUCUUUCUUGACCUGUUGUGCAGCUACAUACCCACCACUGCCAUAGUUAAAUACACCUAAGUCAGCUCAAUAAUGGAUGCAAGUCUGUGCAACUUCAGCGUUACCAAACCAUCUAAGGUAAGGAUCCCUGCUGUACUUCACAAGCACAUGAUUUGGUACGUAUAAUCUUCCUGUAGCUCUGACAGAUUCCUGGGAAAUUGUUUUUCUUCUUUCCGGUUUCUUUUCUGUGAUUAACUAAUAAAACUAAAAAUGUCAGUUUUAUUUUGCAUCUCCAAUAUUAAAUUUACAGUACAUUAAGGCAUUUAUUUCUGGUCAAAGGUAAGAAUAAUUAAUACUGAGUAUAACUAUCCCACUGCUUAUGCUAGAGGCUUAAGAGGAACCAUCCCCCUUUCUUUUUCCAUCGGUGACAUUCUCACUGGCACCUCAAUAUAACACAGCAGCUUUAAAAACGAAAACCAACCCAUACUCCCAACAAACCCCUGGUUUGAGUCAGGGUAUCUUCACAGAAAACCAAGGUAAAAUAUACAGAAAUACUAUCAGCAGUGCUACCAUAAUCAGAUGGUGAGAUGAAAAAAAUGAAGCAUUUCAACAUAUUUUGCAGCUGUUACAUAUAUCAUUUAUAUUCAACAGUCCUUUAGAGGAGCAGUACUCUGAGGGAAAACAACCAAAUAAUUUCAGAUGGAUAAUGAAAUGCUAAGACUUUCAUCUCCAGGUCACUGGUUCUAGCUAACCUUGUUCUGAAAGUAGCUGUUACUGACAGCUGUUUGAUGGCUUAUGGGAUGAGAUGGUGGUCUCCAAACAGUUCUUUUGCUCCCUCUGCUACAGACAGCUCUCUGCUACUGUAACAGACACUCUUUUCAGCUGCCUUAGCAGACAGGCAAAGGACUAGAUGGAUAUAAAAACUGAACCAGUCUCGCACUUUUGAGGAAGUCCUUGCUCAACAAGUUCAACAAGGAAUAUUAGCUGCAUCUUCACCACAUCAGGAUAGGAUUGUCAGCAUGCUGUAUCACAUCCUUUUGAAUAACAAUUGCAACUUAAUUCAGCAUAGUUAAUGUCAAUAUUCUACCUCUUCAAGACAUUCUGCUAAGUAAC